GGGAAGAGCUCACAUUUGGAAUCGGCGGUCCUUCGGCCGUCCGAGUUGUCAUCUAGAGAAGCGUGCUCCGCGCUGGCCCCGUGUACAAGUCUCCUGGAAGGGAGCGUCGUGGAGGGUGAGAACCCCGUCUCGGACACGGGACCGCCAGGGCUUUGUGAGGCGCUCUCGACGAGUCGAGUUGUUUGGGAAUGCAGCUCAAAACGGGUGGUAAACUCCAUCUAAAGCUAAAUACGGGCGAGAGACCGAUAGCGAACAAGUACCGUGAGGGAAAGAUGAAAAGGACUUUGGAAAGAGAGUCAAACAGUACGUGAAAUUGCUGGAAGGGAAACGCUGGACGUCAGUCGCGUCGAGCCGGGGGUCAGCCUCGCCUUGAGCAGGGCGUACUUCCCGGUCGGCGGGUCAGCAUCGGUCUCUGGUCGCGGCACAAGGGUCGGAGGAAGGUGGCACUCCUCGGAGUGUGUUUAUAGCCUCCGGCCGCAUGCCAGCGGUGGGGACCGACGAGGCUCGGCGCCUUCGGGGCGCCAGAGAUGCUGGCGUAAUGGCGUUCAGCGACCCGUCUUGAAACACGGACCAAGGAGUCUAACGUGCGUGCGAGCGUUCGGGCGGCAAACCCGUGCGCGGAAUGAAAGUGACCGUCGAGACCUCCGUCGUGGAGGGCACCGACGCCCGGACCCGAGUCUCUGACGAGGGCCCUGCGGCGGAGCAUGUACGUUGGGACCCGAAAGAUGGUGAACUAUGCCUGAGUAGGGCGAAGCCAGAGGAAACUCUGGUGGAGGCUCGCAGCGAUUCUGACGUGCAAAUCGAUCGUCGAA
rnacentral:rRNA from 1 species